rnacentral:rRNA from 1 species
AGCUUGCUCUCUGGGUGGCGAGUGGCGGACGGGUGAGGAAUACGUCGGAAUCUGCCUAUUUGUGGGGGAUAACGUAGGGAAACUUACGCUAAUACCGCAUACGACCUACGGGUGAAAGCGGAGGACCUUCGGGCUUCGCGCAGAUAGAUGAGCCGACGUCGGAUUAGCUAGUUGGCGGGGUAAAGGCCCACCAAGGCGACGAUCCGUAGCUGGUCUGAGAGGAUGAUCAGCCACGCUGGAACUGAGACACGGUCCAGACUCCUACGGGAGGCAGCAGUGGGGAAUAUUGGACAAUGGGCGCAAGCCUGAUCCAGCCAUGCCGCGUGUGUGAAGAAGGCCUUCGGGUUGUAAAGCACUUUUGUACGGGAAGAAAAGCACUCGGUUAAUACCCGGGUGUCAUGACGGUACCGUAAGAAUAAGCACCGGCUAACUUCGUGCCAGCAGCCGCGGUAAUACGAAGGGUGCAAGCGUUACUCGGAAUUACUGGGCGUAAAGCGUGCGUAGGUGGUUUGUUAAGUCUGAUGUGAAAGCCCUGGGCUCAACCUGGGAAUUGCAUUGGAUACUGGCAGUCUAGAGUGCGGUAGAGGGUAGCGGAAUUCCCGGUGUAGCAGUGAAAUGCGUAGAUAUCGGGAGGAACAUCCGUGGCGAAGGCGGCUACCUGGACCAGCACUGACACUG